UACGUAGGGUGCAAGCGUUAUCCGGAAUUACUGGGUGUAAAGGGUGAGUAGGCGGUUUGAUAAGUCAUGUGUGAAAAUCCUGUGCUUAACAUAGGACCUGCACAAGAAACUGUCAGACUGGAGUACAGGAGAGGUAAGCGGAAUUCCUAGUGUAGCGGUGAAAUGCGUAGAUAUUAGGAAGAACACCAGUGGCGAAGGCGGCUUACUGGACUGAAACUGACGCUGAGUCACGAAAGCGUGGGGAGCAAACAGG
rnacentral:rRNA from 1 species